ensembl:lncRNA
GCCCGGGUUGUUUUGUCAGAAGCCCGGGGUAUUUUGGAGUGUAAUUUUUUCAUAGUUAGAUGCCUGGCUGACAACUGUAUAAAACAAAAAGUACACACAAUAUUCGAAGCACAUAGUGAACACUGUGGGAAUUUACGACUGUGCGUGAAUCCCCCCCUGAUAUUGGUAUGAUCCAAGCUCAGGCACUAAGCGACUGAGCGAGGGGGCGGGGCAGCUGCUGCCCGUGAGUGCGCUGUUGGAGAGACGGAGCCAGCCAUACUAAGGAGAGCUUAAGUUUGACCAGUUCUUACCCUCCCCGACUAAAUCGGUUUCAGUUAUGUACUGAAAUAUAAGAAUGGACAUUCGAGGGUUCUUUUAAAGAAGAAACUCAGCACAAAGAGGGAGAGAGAGGAACAGAGAGGGAGAGAGAGGGAGAUGGAGAAUGAGGACAGAACAGAGAUGAACAAGAGCAGGUGAGACACACAUGUUAGUCAAAUGGUUGUUUACCAAAAGUAUCACCGUAUCAUAGGUACUCAUGUAUCUCGUACCUAGUGUUUCUUUUUAGGUUUGUUAUUUUUCAAAUUCUGUAUUUAUUAUGUUAUGCAGGCUUGUUUGCACAACAAGGCUAAAUAAUUAUAUAAACUUUUCUCAAUCUAAAUAGUGUACUUUGGUAAAAUUAAAAAAUAAAUGUAGUGCAAGUCUAUGAUGAUUUUUAGUGCUACUAUCAUCUAGUUCUGAUUCUGGUUCUAUCUUGGUUAAAUCCCAAGUAGUCCUGAUUUUGAACUGUUGUAGUCCUGUUUUAAUUCUGGAUCAGUUCUGGGUCUGGUUGAAUUGGGGUCUAGUCCUCGUGUCUUGAUACAGCCCCGACUUCGUUCUGUCUUGCUGCUCAAUUAAAAAACUAGUUUAAGGUGUCCUGCACAUGUGAUAUAUAUUUUUCCCUAUAUGAAGUCAUUCUAUUUUUGAACAAAACUCAAAACAGAGCCUAUUAAUCUUUCAGUCAUUUCUACCCCCCCCCAAGGGAAAAAAAUAAUAAUCCCACAUGCAUACUACCCUUUUGGGCUAAGCCCCGGGUGUUUCAAAUGUCUGGCUCCGCCUCUG